rnacentral:lncRNA from 1 species
ACAAUAAUUGAGGUUAACAUAACAUAAAAACAUGUUUAAAUCAUAAUCGAACAUAACAUGUUAAUAAACACAAAAUUUACCUGAAGUAGCGUCAAGUACCCCGCAAGCUGUCGGGUGGUGGUCCUGUAACAUCCUGGAAAUUUCUACCCGGAGUUUACGGAAACGAUGUAUUUUGAAUGAUUAUAUAUAUAUAUAUAUAUAUAUAUAUAUAUAUAUAUAUAUAUAAGUAUUAUUCAGUGUAUAUGUAUAGAUAUGUUCUUGGUAGAAAUAGGAAUAGUGGGGGCAAGAUAUGCGGGUUAGACUAAUUAAGGGAGAGAAAUCCAUAACUGGGAGGUUAUGGGUUAAUUCCUAAUUAAUUAGUUAAAAAUCAUCGUUUUGCGUGCGACUUAAAAUUUAACGAAACCAACCUCUGAACCACGCUCGGAGUUUUAUUCUGAGCGUUUUGAUAGAUAUAUUGCUUACUUUCGAAAACUGGCCCCGACGGACGCAGAGAAACGCGAGAAAACGGGAAUCAGAGAAACGGCACGCAAACUGAGGCAGGAUUUUAGCGUUUCAAAGGUCAGAUUUUUUUCUCACUUUUGUGACUGAGUAUGGGUCACAGUCAAAAAGAGAAAGUGGGCCCUUUUUGCUCCAAUCAAAUAGGGACAUGUGGCAGAGCUUGAAUAAAAUAAUAGAAAAAGAGGAAAACCUUUUAUUUAAGACCAAAAAGCUUUUCUCUCUCCUCACUCAGCCAAAGCAGAAAAUUCAGAAGCUCUCCCUCUUCCUCACGUUGCUUUUUCCUUCUCCUCCAUUCUCCAUUGAAACCCCAACAAAGCUCCAACCUUUGGUGCUCAUUUCUGCUCCAAAUCGCGAAAGGAGGGCAUUUUCGGGGUCGUGAAGUGCGUGGCUACAAGUGGGACUUCAAAAAUUCAGGUUUGGGUGGACUUCUUUCUCUCUUAAAUUUCGUGGGUAUGGGGUUUUGGGAGAUAUGAUGGGUGGUUAUGUUAGUUUUCUGCUGUGUGAUGAUUAUUUGUGAAGGCAUUUGCUGAAAACUUGUUGAAAUUGCCAUGUUUGGAUGAGUUAAACAUACCCAUUCUGUUUUAGGAUUUUUGAGAUGAUGUUUGUGAUGUUUAUAUGCUGAAAUUGCUGAUGGAAAACUGUUAGAGAUGAAGGGUAGAACUAACCUAGGGUUAGAAAGUGAGAAUGUGAUGUUAUGAGUGGAAAAAGAGUGAGACUUUGAGAGUUGGAAGGCUAAGUCUGAAUUCUGUGGUAAAUGGAGGUUAAAGUGAGUUAAUACUAGGUUGAAAUGUCAUUUAGGACAUGUGAGAAAGGUUAGCUGAGCUAGAGAGAAAAACAAAUGACCAAAGUGAACCAAGAGCCAUUUCUAGGGCAAAAUUUGGUGUGAAGAGUCAAAUUUUGAUUCGUGAGAUUUUAGUGUAAAUCCAGCUUGACAAGUCUAAAUAAGAUUGUUAUGGACUGUGUGGAGGUGAGAGUUUGGCUUCAAAUUUANNNNNNNNNNNNNNNNNNNNNNNNNNNNNNNNNNNNNNNNNNNNNNNNNNNNNNNNNNNNNNNNNNNNNNNNNNNNNNNNNNNNNNNNNNNNNNNNNNNNCCAGCCUGUGUAAUCGAUUACACAGAGGGAUGGGUCACUGGUAAUCGAUUACCAGGCAUGUGUAAUCGAUUACACAGUGCAUUAUUGCAUAUUUCAUGUCCUGAGGCUGUGUAGUUCAAGUUUAGCCUCUGGUAAUCGAUUACCAAGGCUGUGUAAUCGAUUACCAGAGAUGAAAAGCCUUAAGAUACCCUUCUUACUUGCAUGUAAUGGUUUGUAGAAGUAUUGUGUGCAGCAUAGUUAGAUUCUUGUGAAAGAGUCUACCCCUUUCUCUUCUUUCUUGUAGAUCGUGAUGGCGGCGCAGCUAAUCCGUGAUCGAGUAGAGAUGGAGUGCCUAAAGGGAGCUUGGGAGACCCUCGAAGGUAACACGAGGUGCCGAUUUCGGGGCACCAUUCGAUUCACGGCUACUUCUUUGGUGCAUCCAGAUGAACCUGCACGGACGCUUCAGCGCACGGUGGAGUGGACAACUCCUUGGAUUAGUUUUGUAUACUUUUUGAGGGUGGGCAUAUCUAGGACUGACUGUUAGGUUUACUCUUUUGCUUUGUAUGGGUAGACCUGAUGUAUAGGAAUUUGAUAAUUGUAUACUUGUGGCUGAAGCCACCACUAUGGACACCUUUGCUCUGGAUGACACUAUAUAUAUUUUGUAAAACUCCCAUAUUUUGGACAACUUUAAAUGAUGAAUGCAUUUGUGAUCGAUCUUGUUAUUUGAAAGGAAAGCGUUAGCAACUUUAUUUGUAAAAGAGUUUAUCGACCGUAUUUUAUUCUUUUACCUUCACGUGACGACCUAAAGUAAUGGCUGGUACAUUCUUUCUUUUGAAAAAGCAAAAUAGUUUAGAGAUUAUGAGCGGUGAGAAAGAAAUGACUCCGAAUAGAGUUGUGAACUGGCCAUUCAGGACUCUGUAGUGAGGAUUUUCCUUCGAAACCUUGUUUUGGUGAAAAGAGAAAGAAAUGAAAAAGAAAAAGAAGAAAAAAAAAAUUUACCAUGGUUUUUGUUAAUUAAAUCAUUACCAUUAAACCAGUCAUUAUUUUGGGGACGCCACAGGUCCUACAAGCCUCAUCUAAUUGGUCAUACAUAUGAACCAGCGCGGCAACUCCUCAAGCGUAACCACCACUAUGAGCGAGGUCCCGAAAAGCGUCAAGGUGGACCACAUGCACGUAUGUUGCACUCUUAUUAGCAAAAAGAGUGCAACCGACAAGGUGCAGCAGAUAAGCGCGAGCUGCGACAAUCCAUCGCCGGGCCUGACAUCUCGUCUCAUAAAUGUCUCGAACCCAUCCUAAUCGUACAUAUGCUCCACGUGUGAGUGUUGUCUCGGCUCUGGCC